rnacentral:tRNA from 1 species
GGAGGUGUAGCUCAGUUGUUGAGUAUCUGCCUAGCACACAGAAAGCCUUAGGUUCCAUCCUGGCACCUCCA